GAUGAACGCUGGCGGCGUGCCUAAUACAUGCCAGUCGAGCGAACGGACGAGAAGCUUGCUUCUCUGAUGUUAGCGGCGGACGGGUGAGUAACACGUGGAUAACCUACCUAUAAGACUGGGAUAACUUCGAGAAACCGGAGCUAAUACCGGAUGAUAUUUUGAACCGCAUGGUUCAAAAGUGAAAGACGGUCUUGCUGUCACUUAUAGAUGGAUCCGCGCUGCAUUAGCUAGUUGGUAAGGUAACGGCUUACCAAGGCAACGAUGCAUAGCCGACCUGAGAGGGUGAUCGGCCACACUGGAACUGAGACACGGUCCAGACUCCUACGGGAGGCAGCAGUAGGGAAUCUUCCGCAAUGGGCGAAAGCCUGACGGAGCAACGCCGCGUGAGUGAUGAAGGUCUUCGGAUCGUAAAACUCUGUUAUUAGGGAAGAACAUAUGUGUAAGUAACUGUGCACAUCUUGACGGUACCUAAUCAGAAAGCCACGGCUAACUACGUG
rnacentral:rRNA from 1 species